rnacentral:rRNA from 1 species
CCCUUAGAUGUUCUGGACCGCACGCGCGCUACACUGAUGCAUUCAACGAGUCUAAAACCUGCUCUGAUAGGGGUGGGUAAUCUUUUGAAUGUGCAUCGUGAUUGGGAUAGAUGAUUGAAAUUUUUCAUCUUCAACGAGGAAUGCCUAGUAAACGCAAGUCAUCAGCUUGCAUUGAUUACGUCCCUGCCCUUUGUACACACCGCCCGUCGCUCCUACCGAUUGAAUGAUCCGAUGAAUAUCAUGGAUUGAGGAUGCAAGUAGGUUCACCUAUCUUCAUCUUCGAGAAGUGAAGUAAAUCUUAUCAUUUAGAGGAAGGAGAAGUCGUAACA